rnacentral:rRNA from 3 species
CACGGAGUGAUUCAUGACUGGGGUGAAGUCGUAACAAGGUAGCCCUAGGGGAACCUGGGGCUGGAUCACCUCCUUAUACGA